UACAGAGGUCUCAAGCGUUGUUCGGAUUCAUUGGGCGUAAAGGGUGUGUAGGUGGCGCCGUAAGUCGGGUGUGAAAUUUCGGAGCUUAACUCCGAAACUGCAUUCGAUACUGCGGUGCUUGAGGACUGGAGAGGAGACUGGAAUUCAUGGUGUAGCAGUGAAAUGCGUAGAGAUCAUGAGGAAGACCAGCGGCGAAGGCGGGUCUCUGGACAGUUCCUGACACUGAGACACGAAGGCCAGGGGAGCAAACGGG
rnacentral:rRNA from 1 species